rnacentral:rRNA from 1 species
UACAGAGGGUGCAAGCGUUGUUCGGAAUUACUGGGCGUAAAGCGUGCGUAGUCGGUAUUGAGAGUCGCGGGUGAAAUCCCAGGGCUUAACCCUGGAACUGCCUGCGAGACCUUAGUACUAGAGUGUGAGAGGGGAUAGUGGAAUACCCAGUGUAGCGGUGAAAUGCGUAGAGAUUGGGUGGAACACCGGUGGCGAAGGCGGCUAUCUGGCUCACAACUGACGAUCAGGCACGAAAGCGUGGGGAGCAAACAGG